GCACCCAUGGCGGAAUUGGUAGACGCAAGGGACUUAAAAUCCCUCGAUCAUCGAUCGUGCCGGUUCGACCCCGGCUGGGUGCACCA
rnacentral:tRNA from 1 species